rnacentral:lncRNA from 1 species
NNNNNNNNCCGAUGGCGUGCCCUGGGCCGGGCAGCGAGGCCGGGCUCGAGUCCCCGCGCGGCCCCGGCCUGACCCGAGCCCGCAGAAGCGCAGCCCGAGCCCGGCGGUCCGAGGACCUGGCUGCGGGGCUGUCCAGGCGUCCCGGAGGGCUCUUCUCCCAGCACCUGGCGGCUCUGAUGGACGGAGGGGGCCAGCCGGACGGUCGGGGACCCGGGAUCCGGGCGCAGCAGCCCACCUCCUGUUCUAGGCUUCCCGGCUCGGUGCAGUCCGAGGCUGUGGAGGGCAGAAUUCCUGCAGGAUUUAUUUUUGCCACUUCCUCUAGGAGCUAGAAGUUGGCCAAGUGUUGAAUUGUGUGCCUCUCGGGCAUGCACCGCUGAACAAAACUUGUUGGCGCCUAUGAAACAAUGCCGCCUCCAACGCCUGGAGUGACGGGGACGCAGCCGAGCGGCCUUCCUCAGCACCGUCCCCUCCUCUGCGGGCUCUGAAUUCGAGUGCCCCCACCUGCCAGACCCGCUUAAGCGAGUUAUGUCCCUGUGCUGCCCUGUUUCUGGCUGGGAGACACAGGAGAUGCGAGCCGUUCCUCACAGAGCCAGUAUUCGCCCCUCCUGGAAUGUGGUCAGGGCACCAGACGGGACCCAGCGAUGAGUGGGCAGAUGGACAGAUGUCUGCAAAUCCACCAGGGAUGGAAACAAGCCACGGACUCCAUGCCGGAUGGGUCCAUACUGGGUCCGCCAGGGGUGCCUGGGGAAUGUCCCAUGCAUCCCACUCCAGAACUGGGGGCUGGAGGUUGUGGGGUGGCCUCUGCUUGCCUCCUGUUCCCUCAUCACCAGGACCACGAGCUAAGGACAGACCCCGUUUCCCAAAAAGAAGACAUGCAUUCACAGUAUCUAACAGUCAAGAGGCGGCUCCACAGCUCAGCAUAGACAAACCAAACCUUUAGGCAAUAUUAGAGAGGGCACGGAUUGCAUGGAGCAAUGGGUGUGGUGAAAAAAUAAUGAAUACUGUUUUUCUGAAAAUAAAUAAAUAAAUUUAAAAAAAGCAAAAACAAAAAACCUUUAGGCAGCUGUGGAGUCUGGGUGUCC